rnacentral:rRNA from 2 species
GCGACUGGAAAGGUCCGUCGAAGAAGGUAACAACCCUGUAGUUGAAACUUCGUUCCCUCUUGAGUGGAUCCUGAGUACGGCGGAACACGUGAAAUUCCGUCGGAAGCUGGGAGGACCAUCUCCCAAGGCUAAAUACUACCUAGUGACCGAUAGUGAACCAGUACCGUGAGGGAAAGGUGAAAAGCACCCCGGAAGGGGAGUGAAAGAGAUCCUGAAACCGUGUGCCUACAAGUAGUCAGAGCCCGUUAACGGGUGAUGGCGUGCCUUUUGUAGAAUGAACCGGCGAGUUACGAUCCCAUGCAAGGUUAAGCUGAUAAGGCGGAGCCGUAGCGAAAGCGAGUCUGAAUAGGGCGUUUAGUAUGUGGUUGUAGACCGAAACCAGUGAUCUACCCAUGUCCAGGGUGAAGUUCAGGUAACACUGAAUGGAGGCCCGAACCCACGCACGUUGAAAAGUGCGGGGAUGAGGUGUGGGUAGCGGAGAAAUUCCAAUCGAACCUGGAGAUAGCUGGUUCUCUCCGAAAUAGCUUUAGGGCUAGCCUCAUGUUGUGAGAGUCUUGGAGGUAGAGCACUGAUUGGACUAGGGGCCCAACGGGUUACCGAAUUCAGUCAAACUCCGAAUGCCAAAGACUUAUCCAUGGGAGUCAGACUGCGAGUGAUAAGAUCCGUAGUCAAAAGGGAAACAGCCCAGACCACCAGCUAAGGUCCCCAAGUAUACGUUAAGUGGAAAAGGAUGUGGAGUUGCUUAGACAACCAGGAUGUUGGCUUAGAAGCAGCCACCAUUUAAAGAGUGCGUAAUAGCUCACUGGUCGAGUGACUCUGCGCCGAAAAUGUACCGGGGCUAAACGUAUCACCGAAGCUGUGGAUUGACAUCUUUGAUGUCAGUGGUAGGAGAGCGUUCUAAGUGCUGUGAAGUCAGACCGUAAGGACUGGUGGAGCGCUUAGAAGUGAGAAUGCCGGUAUGAGUAGCGAAAGACAAGUGAGAAUCUUGUCCACCGAAUGCCUAAGGUUUCCUGAGGAAGGCUCGUCCGCUCAGGGUUAGUCGGGACCUAAGCCGAGGCUGAAAAGCGUAGGCGAUGGCCAACAGGUGAUAUUCCUGUACCACCUCCCCGCCGUUUGAGUAAUGGGGGGACGCAGUAGGAUAGGGUAAGCGCGCUGCUGGAUAUGCGCGUUCAAGCAGUUAGGCUGAUGAGUAGGCAAAUCCGCUCGUCAUAAAGGCUGAGCUGUGAUGACGAGGGAAUUAUAGUACCGAAGUUCCUGAUUCCACACUGCCAAGAAAAGCCUCUAGCGAGGCGGGAGGUGCCCGUACCGCAAACCGACACAGGUAGGCGAGGAGAGAAUCCUAAGGUGAUCGAGAGAACUCUCGUUAAGGAACUCGGCAAAAUGACCCGUAACUUCGGGAGAAGGGGUGCUCUGGUAGGGUGUAUAGCCCGAGAGAGCCGCAGUGAAUAGGCCCAGGCGACUGUUUAGCAAAAACACAGGUCUCUGCGAAGCCGCAAGGCGAAGUAUAGGGGCUGACGCCUGCCGGUGCUGGAAGGUUAAGAGGAGGGUUAUCCUUUGGAGAAGCUCUGAAUCGAAGCCCCAGUAAACGGCGGCCGUAACUAUAACGGUCCUAAGGUAGCGAAAUUCCUUGUCGGGUAAGUUCCGACCCGCACGAAAGGCGUAACGAUCUGGGCACUGUCUCAACGAGAGACUCGGUGAAAUUAUAGUACCUGUGAAGAUGCAGGUUACCCGCGACAGGACGGAAAGACCCCGUGGAGCUUUACUGUAGCCUGAUAUUGAAUUUUGGUACAGCUUGUACAGGAUAGGUAGGAGCCUGAGAAGCCGGAGCGCUAGCUUCGGUGGAGGCGUCGGUGGGAUACUACCCUGGCUGUAUUGAAAUUCUAACCCGGCCCUGAUCGGGCCGGGAGACAGUGUCAGGUGGGCAGUUUGACUGGGGCGGUCGCCUCCUAAAAUGUAACGGAGGCGCCCAAAGGUUCCCUCAGAAUGGUUGGAAAUCAUUCGUAGAGUGUAAAGGCACAAGGGAGCUUGACUGCGAGACCUACAAGUCGAGCAGGGACGAAAGUCGGGCUUAGUGAUCCGGUGGUUCCGCAUGGAAGGGCCAUCGCUCAACGGAUAAAAGCUACCCGGGGAUAAAGGCUUAUCUCCCCCAAGAGUCCACAUCGACGGGGAGGUUUGGCACCUCGAUGUCGGCUCAUCGCAUCCUGGGCUGUAGUCGGUCCCAAGGGUUGGGCUGUUCGCCCAUUAAAGCGGUACGCGAGGGUUCAGAACGUCGUGAGACAGUUCGGUCCCUAUCCGUCGUGGGCGUAGGAAAUUUGAGAGGAGCUGUCCUUAGUACGAGAGGACGGGAUGGACACACCGCUGGUGUACCAGUUGUCUUGCCAAAGGCAUCGCUGGGUAGCUAUGUGUGGACGGGAUAAGUGCUGAAAGCAUCUAAGCAUGAAGCCCCCCUCAAGAUGAGAUUUCCCAUAGCGCAAGCUAGUAAGAUCCCUGAAAGAUGAUCAGGUUGAUAGGUCAGAGGUGGAAGCGUGGCGACAUGUGUAGCUGACUGAUACUAAUCGAUCGAGGACUUAACCAAAC